ACGGCUCAGUAACACGUGGAUAACCUGCCCUUGGGUCCGGCAUAACCCCGGGAAACUGGGGAUAAUUCCGGAUAACGCACAUAAGCUGGAAUGCUUUAUGCGUGAAAUGGAUUCGUCUGCCCAAGGAUGGGUCUGCGGCCUAUCAGGUAGUAGUGGGUGUAAUGUACCUACUAGCCGACGACGGGUACGGGUUGUGAGAGCAAGAGCCCGGAGAUGGAUUCUGAGACAUGAAUCCAGGCCCUACGGGGCGCAGCAGGCGCGAAAACUUUACAAUGCGGGAAACCGUGAUAAGGGGACACCGAGUGCCAGCAUCAUAUGCUGGCUGUCCGGGUGUGUAAAAUACACCUGUUAGCAAGGGCCGGGCAAGACCGGUGCCAGCCGCCGCGGUAACACCGGCGGCCCGAGUGUGAUCGUGAUUAUUGGGUCUAAAGGGUCCGUAGCCGGUUUGGUCAGUCCUCCGGGAAAUCUGAUAGCUCAACUAUUAGGCUUUCGGGGGAUACUGCCAGACUUGGAACCGGGAGAGGUAAGAGGUACUACAGGGGUAGGAGUGAAAUCUUGUAAUCCCUGUGGGACCACCUGUGGCGAAGGCGUCUUACCAGAACGGGUUCGACGGUGAGGGACGAAAGCUGGGGGCACGAACCGGAUUAGAUACCCGGGUAGUCCCAGCCGUAAACGAUGCUCGCUAGGUGUCAGGCAUGGCGCGACCGUGUCUGGUGCCGCAGGGAAGCCGUGAAGCGAGCCACCUGGGAAGUACGGCCGCAAGGCUGAAACUUAAAGGAAUUGGCGGGGGAGCAC
rnacentral:rRNA from 1 species